rnacentral:rRNA from 1 species
CCUACGGGAGGCAGCAGUGGGGGAUAUUGCACAAUGGGGGGAACCCUGAUGCAGCGACGCCGCGUGGGUGAAGAAGCGUUUCGGCGUGUAAAGCUCUGUCAGCAGGGAAGAAAAUGGCGGUACCUGCAGAAGAAGCCCCGGCUAACUACGUGCCCGCAGCCGCGGUAAUACGUCGGGGGCCAGCGUUAUUCGGAUUUACUGGGUGGAAAGGGGGCGCAGACGGCGAGGCAAGGCAGGAGUGAAAGCCCCGGGCCCAACCCCGGGACUGCUCUUGGAACUGCGUGGCGGGAGUGCAGGAGGGGCAGGCGGAAUUCCUGGUGUAGCGGUGAAAUGCGUAGAUAUUAGGAGGAACACCGGUGGCGAAGGCGGCCUGCUGGACUGCAACUGACGUUGAGGCCCGAAAGCGUGGGGAGCAAACAGGAUUAGAUACCCUAGUAGUC